UUCUGGCUCAGGAUGAACGCUAGCGGCAGGCUUAACACAUGCAAGUCGAGGGGCAACGCGAGUAGCAAUACUUGGCGGCGACCGGCGCAAGGGUGCGUAACGCGUGAGCAACAUGCCCGUAUCAGGGGGAUAAUCCAGGGAAACUUGGUCUAAUACCCCAUAGUAAUUUUGUAAGGCAUCUUAUAAGAUUUAAAGCUUUGGUGGAUACGGAUUGGCUCGCGUGACAUUAGCUGGAUGGUAAGGUAACGGCUUACCAUGGCUAUGAUGUCUAGGGGUUCUGAGAGGAAGGUCCCCCACACUGGAACUGAGACACGGUCCAGACUCCUACGGGAGGCAGCAGUGAGGAAUAUUGGACAAUGGAUGGAAAUCUGAUCCAGCCAUGCCGCGUGAAAGGAAGAAGGUCCUAUGGAUUGUAAACUUCUUUUGUAUGGGAGCAAUAAGGCCUACGAGUAGGCUGAUGAGAGUACCAUACGAAUAAGCACCGGCUAACUCCGUGCCAGCAGCGGC
rnacentral:rRNA from 1 species